CUGGGCUGAGGUGUUUACAGUCUUCGUUGAAUGAAUUUCCAUGAACAUCUUUUUUUGAUGAUCAUUGUGUGGAGAUAUCUUAAUUGAAACUGUGAGAAGGGUCUUCUGCUCUCUGGAAGUGCUAUCCAUGGGCACAGAGACACAUGGGGCAAUGGGGAUCCUGAGGUCCAAGAGACGACAAGGAAAAGCAUGCUCUUAGAGAAACAGCUCUGCCCAUGAUAAAGGACACAACAGAACCUGAUCAUGUGAACACAAGUGAAGGACACGGUGGGGACUUGCCACUCAUGUAAUUUUGGAUUUUUUUUCUCUUCAUAACAUAAGUUUCAGUGCAUGUUUUCUAUGAU